AAAGCAACGGUUGUAAAGUGUAUUCAAGUGAGUUCAAAGUGCGUUUAAUUUAAAUUAAAGUAUUGAUUAUCACUAUGAGAUAUUCGAAAUGCAUUAGUUAAUAUGUUAGUGUUCUUUAAGUAGAAGAAUAUUUGACGAGCCGUGAUAGUGAACAAGAAUUUAACGUUUGAGCACAAGUUAACCUCAAAAAUCUGCGGCUGGUUAUCCCGCUAAAUUAAGUGCUGCUUCCCAACUGGUUUUGAAGAUUUCGAAGAUAAUAAAGCUGAAGAAGACGGACUGAAGAUCCGCAGUAAAAUUCAGCGCAGAACUAAAUUCAAGUUACAGCAUUCGUGGUGCCUGGCAGUCCGAUAAGGAGUACACUGUCCCGUGUGUUCCGUGUGUGUGAAGUUUCCAGCGACGGCAUCAAAGAAUUCAUAACUAUAAAACGCAUCUAGUUAUUGAUUGGAAGCUGCGCUUUUCAUCGUUAAAGG